rnacentral:tmRNA from 2 species
GGGGGCGUUACGGAUUCGACAGGCAUAGAUUGAACAAUUAAGGCAAUUCGUAGGUUACGGCUACGUUAAAACGUUACAGUUUAAAUAUAACUGACAAAACACAAAAUAAUUCUUUCGCUUUCGCUGCUUAAAAACCAGCAGGCGUUGAUCUGUCUAGCCUCUCCCAUGGGUUAGGUUCAGGUCUUAGAUGAGUGGGAUACGUUACAAACUUCCAUCUGUAGUGCGUAAAGGAGAAUAAUCAGAUUAGCAACUAUUCAUGCCUGUUUAUUGGCUAAAUAGAAGUGAACUUGAAAUGAAUAAACUAUAAUUGUAGAAUUGAUUGUGGCAAUAUGUUUGGACGCGGGUUCGACUCCCGCCGCCUCCAUAU